rnacentral:rRNA from 1 species
UACAGAGGCCCCGAGCGUUAGGCGGAAUCACUGGGCUUAAAGCGUGUGUAGGUGGAUGUCUAAGUGCCUUGUGAAAUCCCACGGCUUAACCGUGGAAUGGCUGGGCAUACUGGGCGUCUUGAGCCACUCAGGGGCUACCGGAACAAAUGGUGGAGCGGUGAAAUGCGUAGAUAUCAUUUGGAACGCCAAUGGUGAAAACAGGUAGCUGGGGGUGUGCUGACACUGAGACACGAAAGCCAGGGGAGCAAACGGG